GUCGGUUAGAAUACCUGCCUGUCACGCAGGGGGUCGCGGGUUCGAGUCCCGUCCGUUCCGCCA
rnacentral:tRNA from 1 species